rnacentral:rRNA from 1 species
AGAUUGAACGCUGGCGGCAUGCCUUACACAUGCAAGUCGGACGGCAGCACGGGAGCAAUCCUGGUGGCGAGUGGCGAACGGGUGAGUAAUACAUCGGAACGUGCCCAUUCGUGGGGGAUAACGCAGCGAAAGCUGUGCUAAUACCGCAUAAGAUCUACGGAUGAAAGCAGGGGAUCGCAAGACCUUGCGCGAAUGGAGCGGCCGAUGGCAGAUUAGGUAGUUGGUGAGGUAAAGGCUCACCAAGCCUUCGAUCUGUAGCUGGUCUGAGAGGACGACCAGCCACACUGGGACUGAGACACGGCCCAGACUCCUACGGGAGCAGCAGUGGGGAAUUUUGGACAAGUGGCGAAAGCCGUGAUCCAGCCAUGCCGCGUGCAGGAUGAAGGCCUUAGGUGUAACUGUCGUUUGUACGGAAAGAAAGUCUUACUUACUUAAAUAAGAAGG